UUUAAAUUGAGAGUUUGAUCCUGGCUCAGGAUGAACGCUGGCGGCGUGCCUAAUACAUGCAAGUCGAACGA
rnacentral:rRNA from 1 species